AUUGAACGCUGGCGGUAUGCUUAACACAUGCAAGUCGAACGAUGAGAAAGAGCUUGCUCUUUCGAUUAGUGGCGGACGGGUGCGUAACGCGUAGGAAUCUACCUAUUAGUGGGGGGCAACUUAGGGAAACUUAAGCUAAUACCGCAUACGCCCUACGGGGGAAAGAAGGGGAUCGCAAGACCUUUUGCUAAUAGAUGAGCCUGCGUAGGAUUAGCUAGUUGGUGGGGUAAAAGCUCACCAAGGCGACGAUCCUUAACUGGUUUGAGAGAAUGAUCAGUCACACUGGAACUGAGACACGGUCCAGACUCCUACGGGAGGCAGCAGUGGGGAAUAUUGGACAAUGGGCGGAAGCCUGAUCCAGCAAUACCGCGUGUGUGAAGAAGGCCUUAGGGUUGUAAAGCACUUUCAAUUGGAAGGAAAACCUCGAAGCUAAUACCUUCGAGUUUGACAUUACCUUUAGAAGAAGCACCGGCUAACUCCGUGCCAGCCGCCGCGGUAA
rnacentral:rRNA from 1 species